UGGGGAAUAUUGCACAAUGGGGGAAACCCUGAUGCAGCGACGCCGCGUGAGCGAUGAAGUAUUUCGGUAUGUAAAGCUCUAUCAGCAGGGAAGAAACUGACGGUACCUGACUAAGAAGCACCGGCUAAAUACGUGCCAGCAGCCGCGGUAAUACGUAUGGUGCAAGCGUUAUCCGGAUUUACUGGGUGUAAAGGGAGCGUAGACGGACUUGCAAGUCUGAAGUGAAAGCCCGGGGCUCAACCCCGGGACUGCUUUGGAAACUGUAGGUCUAGAGUGCUGGAGAGGUAAGUGGAAUUCCUAGUGUAGCGGUGAAAUGCGUAGAUAUUAGGAGGAACACCAGUGGCGAAGGCGGCUUACUGAACAGUAACUGACGUUGAGGCUCGAAAGCGUGGGGAGCAAACA
rnacentral:rRNA from 1 species